CAGCUGACGUUACAGACACGUCACACGCUCACCGAACUCUAGCUGCCGCCAUAUUGAGUACCUUCUUUGGUGCAGCGGUCGUCGAAAAUGCCGUCCAUAUGUUGUGCAGUUGGGUGUGAUAAUAAGAAAGGUGCAAAAAGCUAAAACCCACUAAGCCCAGACUGCGUGCCAACAAUAUUUCCUCAUCUAAGUUCUCCAAACAAGCGAAAGAGGAUUUAUCAAAUGGCCAGGUUUGAACACACUCAGGCUCUAAAAAGAAAAAGAGCAGUGAUUGAUGCUGACAGAGGAGAGACGGGAAAAGUAGAAGACAGACAGGAAGCGAAUGGCAAUGACCAGCAGGAUGGAGGAGAAGACAGACAGGAGGUGGAUGAUGAUGACCAGCAGGAUGGAGGAGAAGACAGACAGGAGGUAGAUGGCAAUGACCAGCAGGAUGGAGAAGACAGACUGGAGGUUGGAUUGGCGAUGCAUGGUACUUGUACCAAUGCUUCUUGCCAAGUCACAAUUAAAAGACUCAAUGAAGAAUGUAUGAGAUUAAGGACUGAAAUCUGUAAACUCAAGGGUCAAGUAGAUUCAUUAACA